AGUGCUGUUUGUUUGUGUAUAUAAGGGUGGGGGGAAUUAACCCUUCUCCUUCAGGCUACAACAGCAGGUGUGUGUGUUUGUGUUGGUGGGUGACAUGGACGUGGUCCCUCCGAAAAGCUGAUGAAUCGCCGUGCUGAUGGGGAAGGUGAAAUGAGGCACGUCUAAUGGCCAGUAUAGCUAUUGUUUGUGGUCAUCACGAUUCAAACCACUAUUAUAUACAUAAAGACAUUCAACAAUGUAGACUUGCACAGGACUGAUGUUGGCACAUCAGGAAAGCUAUAUCCCUUACAAAAAGCACUAGAGUAGUACCAUGGCCAGAUGAUGGUAUCAGAUGCGCCGACCCACCAAGGCAUGGACUCCACAAGAGGUAUCCUGUGGUGUCUGGCACUAAGACGUUAGCAGCAGAUCCUUCAAGUCCUGUAGGUUGCGAGAUGGAACCAAAGUGGAUCGAACUUGUUGGUCCAGCCCAUCCCACAGAUGCUCAGUUGGAUUGAGAUCUGGGGAAUUUGGGGGCCAGGGCAAGACCUUGAACUCUUUAUCGUGUUCCUCAAACCAUUCCUGAACUAUGUGUGCACGGUGGCAGGGUGCAUUAUCCUGCUGUAAGAGGCAGGGUUUCCCAGCAGAACAUUGCCCAGAACAUCUCAUUCCUUCCACCGACUUGUCGUCAUCCCACAGUGCAUCCUGGUGCCAUCAUUUCCCCAGGUAAACGGCCGUCCAAGCGAUGUAAAAGAAAACAUGACUCAUUGGACCAGGCGACCUUCUUCCAUUGCUCCAAGGUCCAGUUCCGACACUCGCGUACCCAUUGUAGGUACUUUCGACAAUAGUGUGACUUGUGCCACAGUAGACCUUCUUUUGGCUCAGACCAGAUGGGAUAGCCUUCAUUGCCCUGCGUGCAACCAGUGAACCCUGAACGCCCAACAACCUGUUGACAGUUUGUGCCUCCUUGGAACACUGUUGGUAAAUGAUCGGGAGCAACAUACAAGCAACAUACAAGCCUUGCCAUUUCAGAGAUGCUCUGACCCAGUCAUCUGACCAUAAAAAUUUGGCCCUUGUCAAAGUUGGUCAGGUCAGUCAGGACUCCUGCCCAUUUCUCCUGCGUCCAACACGUUGAUUACGAGAACUGAUUGUUUGCUUACCAUCUAAUCUACCCAGAUCUCGACAAGUGGCCUUGUUAGGAGAUAAUCAACAAAAUUUGCUUCACCUAUGAGUAUCUAUCUAUCUAUCUAUCUAUCUAUUUAUUUUGGUUUCUAUUAAUUGUAAAGUACUUUUUGUAAGUUAAGGUUGUAAGUGAUUAAGAGAGUGAUUUUUUUUUUGUACAGAAAGAACAAGAAUAAGAAAUAUUUUACUUCAGUAACAGUGGAUGUGAGGUCAAGAGAGAUCAGACGCUUGUUUGAGACCUGAUCAAGCUGGGAUGUUAAAAGAAGAGACAGGGAUGGGUAUGAAAAAGUGAGAGGAUAUUUAUAGUAAAAUGUAUAUGAUGGAAAAGUAGAUAUUAAUAGAUAGAUUACGUUGUUUUGUUUUUUCUCUCUUUCCAUCCCUCCCUUUUUAUUCUCACCAGCCUCUCUGCAGAUGAAAGAAGAGAGGGAACCUGCAAGGUGGUUGUCACAGGCCUUUUCUUUGCCCUGGAGGACCUGUGUGGUUGCUAUAGAAACUAGGUCAGGGCUGCCGCAUCCAGGGAGGCAGAAUGUGUGAUUGUGUGACAGGUGUAUGAAGAGGUGCUGAGGAAAGGAGGGGUCGAGGUAAAACGGAAGGAAGAUUGACAAGGAUGUGAGAUUGUUUGUUUACAUUAAAACCCACAACCUGCAGUUCUACUGCUACAACUGUAUGCCCAAAUCAUAAAUUACAGAUUUCAGGGGAAAAAAAUAUAGUAGAACAUAAAAUAUUUUAGAAAACGAACAUAAUGUUUAACAAUAUAUAUUAAUUUUAUAGUUUUUUUAAAUUCUUUAUGUAGGUUAAAUUACUCCAGUAAGUGGCGACAAGUGACUGUCUUUGCAAAUGAAUCAUUGGAUAAUUCAUUGGAUUUCAGCCUAUUAGCUGAAAAAUACUGAUUCAUCCAGGAAUUAAACAAAUUAAUGUGUUUGUGAGUGAGUCAUUGAAUCAUUCAAUCAACCAAUUUCUUUAAAAACAUUGACUCUGAAACUGUGUUGCUUGGAAGGCAGUUGAUUCUGCUUUGUUUUGGAUCUAUUUCCAUUGGCUGUGCAAAAAUAUUCUGCAAAAAAAAAGUAACUAUUGAACUGUUGUAUAAAAACCUUUUAUGUGCUGAUGUGACACUUUUUAAUUAAUAAAAUUAAAAAGCUAAGAUAUAAUUUUAUUUUAUUUUAUUCCAAGCCAACAGAAAUAAAUUAAGACUGAGAGCAAUACGGAAGAGGUUUUCAUGCAGAUAUUUCUUGUUUUUUUUUUCCCUUUAAAACCACAAGACCACCUAUUUAUAGAACUAAUAGCAUGAAUAAAACCUAACCUAAUCUAAGCUUUGAACAAUAAGCACACAUGGUCCAACAGUAUCUAAUGAUUUGUAUAGUGAAUAAACAUCAAGCAUUCAGUAUAAACAUCAGCAUUUAGAUGAUUCAUUUGCUUUUCAUCUAUUCUUACUCUAUUUAUGAAUAAACUCUCAGUUUAGCACAAUCAUUUUACCGUAAUGGUGUAGGUAAACAUUUACAUUUAAAGCUUUUAGCUGAUGCUCUUAUCCAGACAUACUAACAAAAAGUAAUGUGCAUGAGCUAAAAUCACCCUAAUGGAUGUGUGUGUUCAGAGGCUGUUCUUCAGAGUCAAACAUCUGAGAUAUGGUUUGUGUCAGGGUUUAGAUUGCUGAUGGCAGAUGUGCACUGGAUGUGCGACAGAUGAGCCAACGGCCGCUAAAACAUCAAACAUCAAUGUCACUGCCGGAGACUGUCUGUCUACAUGACAAGCUGAGAAGAACUGCCUCUGUGUCCUUGGAUCACACUGACGUAGGCAAAUGUUAACAGAAGUGCAAACUGUUCGGACUACACACCUUUUCUACCUCAGGUUUCUCUGCUUUUUUCAUUCAUCAGAAGUAGACUGAUACUUUGUGAGUCAUUGAGAUUUUUUCUUGUUAACGACGGAAGGGCCUCAGCAAGACCUCAGGCCAUUAACCUCAGUGGCUCAGACGUCAGGUCUUUUCUUAGAUACCUUGAGAGAUGCUUGAGAGGACUAAAAGACUUGUUAACUCUGCAUGUCAGCACGGAUUCUCAGUACUUGCUCGUCAGGUCAUGGGUUUUGGCAUAUAUGCCCCUGGUAACACAUAUUACCAUCAGACAGACAUCUUACAGGUUGCAGCCAUCCACCUCCUACAGCGAACUUCAUAAAUCUCUCUAGCCAGAGCCAAGGAGGACGUGUUUGCAUGGAGCAUCAAGAAAAUCAAGACUGAUAUAAAAAUUCUGCUUGAUAAAGUUAAGAAGAUAAUUAUUUCAUAUUCAAAUAAAUGUACAAUAUUAAAACACUAAAUGCUACAAGUGAAUUUAGUCAUCACAACAUUAUAAUGAUUAUACAACAUUAUAAUGAAUACUCAUUUUAAGAUUUGCUAAAGAUUACAUGUAAUUAUUUAUUUAUUAUAAAUAAUUAAUUUCAAGUAUUUUUAAAUGAGGUUUAGAUAAGGCAAAGGUAAUUUACAUGUACGAUUAGGGGAAAUUAGCAUGUACAUAUAAAUAUCCAAUAUUGAGUAAUACAGAUAUAAAAUAUAUGUUUAAUAUAAUAUUUGUAAUAUUUAAUGCAAUGUUUGUAAUACGUAAUAUCUGACUGAUAACUGAUAUAUUGCAGAUUUAUUGUGCAUUCCUAAUUACUAUUGUUCAUACUUUGAACAAAACUCAAAUUAUGUAUAUGAACCUCAAAUCCUAAUGCUUAACUUUUCUAAGCCAUCUUUUUUUGGAUGAUAAAACAGGUGAAAAAUUCCUAUAGACUUUCAUGGAAAGAGAAAACUGGGCCACCGAGGGACAAAAUUAUUGUUACUGGUAAUCUGUUUCGGUUUCUGGUUUUGAGUGGGUUUGAUAUGUGUUUUUGUUUAGUUUCCUGUGUUUCAUUCAAUUUCGUUUAUUGGUUUGCCCUGUGUAUUUAAGCUCUGUGUUUCUUUUUAAGUUUUUUGUCCGUUCUCAUCACGCUAUCAGUUGUUCUGUUCCCAUUUGCUAUUUCGUGUUUUGGUUUCUGAGUUUAAAAAUAAAUAAACUAUUAUUACCUACGAUUAGAUCCUGCCUAUCUCACCUCUAUUCUGCAGCCCACCGUGAAUCCUCCUCCUCUCGCAUGGGGAACAGUCCCUUAAGAGAAACACACAGGCCUUCCUGGAUACCAUCUUGUCCACUAUGACGACGACAGCCUGUGUGUGUGUUUUCCAGGCAGGUCUCAACACAGAGCGGUCCGCUAAGGACGUUUAAGGAGUAUGUAAAAUGGAUGCUUCUAUAAUGGUUCACCCUUUACCAUCGGCAAGAGAGGAGGAAUUCAGCGCACCUGAAGUGCACACAGCACCCACUACAUCCGCAGCCACCAGCCCUUUGGACGUUAAGCCCGAGCUUACCGUAGACGCAGAGCCUGAGCCCACCACGAUGUCAGCGCCAGAGGUAAUGCCUGAGCCUAAAGGCCCAUUCACAUCAAGGACGAUAACUAAAAAGAUAACGAUGAAGAUAUAGCUCUAAAAAUCCUUCUCAAUAUUAAGAAUAGUUGAUAACGGCACAGAGAAACAGUACAGUUGGAGUCACUUUCAGAAUGAUUUUAUCCAGCUAAUGAAUGAUAAAAUCAUUGACAGCUAAUCAGAAUCAAUCCUGCUAUA